rnacentral:rRNA from 1 species
AUUGAACGCUGGCGGCGCGCCUAAUACAUGCAAGUCGAGCGAGAAGGUGUAGCAAUACACUUGUAAAGCGGCGAACGGGUGAGGAAUGCAUGGGUAACCUACCCUCGAGUGGGGAAUAACUAGCCGAAAGGUUAGCUAAUACCGCAUACGUUUCCGGAACUUCGGUUUCGGAAAGAAAGCAAUACCGUGGGUAUUGCGCUCCUGGAUGGGCUCAUGUCCUAUCAGCUUGUUGGUGAGGUAACGGCUCACCAAGGCUUCGACGGGUAGCUGGUCUGAGAGGACGAUCAGCCACACUGGCACUGCGACACGGGCCAGACUCCUACGGGAGGCAGCAGUAAGGAAUAUUGCGCAAUGGACGAAAGUCUGACGCAGCGACGCCGCGUGGGGGAUGAAGGUCUUCGGAUUGUAAACCCCCUUUCGGGAGGGAAGAUGGAGUGGGUAACCACUUGGACGGUACCUCCAGAAGCAGCCACGGCUAACUUCGUGCCAGCAGCCGCGGUAA